CUUCCGUAGGGUUGACCUGCGGAAGGAUCAUUACCGAGUGCGGGUCCUUUGGGCCCAACCUCCCAUCCGUGUCUAUUGUACCCUGUUGCUUCGGCGGGCCCGCCGCUUGUCGGCCGCCGGGGGGGCGCCUCUGCCCCCCGGGCCCGUGCCCGCCGGAGACCCCAACACGAACACUGUCUGAAAGCGUGCAGUCUGAGUUGAUUGAAUGCAAUCAGUUAAAACUUUCAACAAUGGAUCUCUUGGUUCCGGCAUCGAUGAAGAACGCAGCGAAAUGCGAUAACUAAUGUGAAUUGCAGAAUUCAGUGAAUCAUCGAGUCUUUGAACGCACAUUGCGCCCCCUGGUAUUCCGGGGGGCAUGCCUGUCCGAGCGUCAUUGCUGCCCUCAAGCCCGGCUUGUGUGUUGGGUCGCCGUCCCCCUCUCCGGGGGGACGGGCCCGAAAGGCAGCGGCGGCACCGCGUCCGAUCCUCGAGCGUAUGGGGCUUUGUCACAUGCUCUGUAGGAUUGGCCGGCGCCUGCCGACGUUUUCCAACCAUUCUUUCCAGGUGACCUCGGAUCAGGNAGAGAUACCCGCUGAACUUAANCAUAUCAAUAAGCGGAGGAGUCAUUACCGAGUGCGGGUCCUUUGGGCCAACUCC
rnacentral:rRNA from 1 species